rnacentral:rRNA from 1 species
GACGAACGCUGGCGGCGUGCUUAACACAUGCCAGUCGAACGGAAAGGCCCUGCUUUUGUGGGGUGCUCGAGUGGCGAACGGGUGAGUAACACGUGAGUAACCUGCCCUUGACUUUGGGAUAACUUCAGGAAACUGGGGCUAAUACCGGAUAGGAGCUCCUGCUGCAUGGUGGGGGUUGGAAAGUUUCGGCGGUGGGGGAUGGACUCGCGGCUUAUCAGCUUGUUGGUGGGGUAGUGGCUUACCAAGGCUUUGACGGGUAGCCGGCCUGAGAGGGUGACCGGCCACACUGGGACUGGAAUACGGGCCAGACUCCUAAGGGAGGGAGCAGGGGGGAAUAUUGCACAAAGGGCGGAAGCCUGAGGGAACAACGCCGCGGGGGGGAAGACGGCCUUCGGGGUGUAAACCGCUUUCGCCUGUGACGAAGCGUGAGUGACGGUAAUGGGUAAAGAAGCACCGGCUAACUACGUG